GGAUGAACGCUGGCGGCGUGCCUAAUACAUGCAAGUCGAGCGAACAGACGAGGAGCUUGCUCCUCUGACGUUAGCGGCGGACGGGUGAGUAACACGUGGAUAACCUACCUAUAAGACUGGGAUAACUUCGGGAAACCGGAGCUAAUACCGGAUAAUAUAUUUAACCGCAUGGUUCAAUAGUGAACGACGGUUUUGCUGUCACUUAUAGAUGGAUCCGCGCCGCAUUAGCUAGUUGGUAAGGUAACGGCUUACCAAGGCAACGAUGCGUAGCCGACCUGAGAGGGUGAUCGGCCACACUGGAACUGAGACACGGUCCAGACUCCUACGGGAGGCAGCAGUAGGGAAUCUUCCGCAAUGGGCGAAAGCCUGACGGAGCAACGCCGCGUGAGUGAUGAAGGUCUUCGGAUCGUAAAACUCUGUUAUUAGGGAAGAACAAAUGUGUAAGUAACUAUGCACGUCUUGACGGUACCUAAUCAGAAAGCCACGGCUAACUACGUG
rnacentral:rRNA from 1 species